GCCUAAUACAUGCAAGUCCGAACGCUUCUUUCCUCCCGAGUGCUUGCACUCAAUUGGAAAGAGGAGUGGCGGACGGGUGAGUAACACGUGGGUAACCUACCCAUCAGAGGGGGAUAACACUUGGAAACAGGUGCUAAUACCGCAUAACAGUUUAUGCCGCAUGGCAUAAGAGUGAAAGGCGCUUUCGGGUGUCGCUGAUGGAUGGACCCGCGGUGCAUUAGCUAGUUGGUGAGGUAACGGCUCACCAAGGCCACGAUGCAUAGCCGACCUGAGAGGGUGAUCGGCCACACUGGGACUGAGACACGGCCCAGACUCCUACGGGAGGCAGCAGUAGGGAAUCUUCGGCAAUGGACGAAAGUCUGACCGAGCAACGCCGCGUGAGUGAAGAAGGUUUUCGGAUCGUAAAACUCUGUUGUUAGAGAAGAACAAGGACGUUAGUAACUGAACGUCCCCUGACGGUAUCUAACCAGAAAGCCACGGCUAACUACGUGCCAGCAGCCGCGGUAAUACGUAGGUGGCAAGCGUUGUCCGGAUUUAUUGGGCGUAAAGCGAGCGCAGGCGGUUUCUUAAGUCUGAUGUGAAAGCCCCCGGCUCAACCGGGGAGGGUCAUUGGAAACUGGGAGACUUGAGUGCAGAAGAGGAGAGUGGAAUUCCAUGUGUAGCGGUGAAAUGCGUAGAUAUAUGGAGGAACACCAGUGGC
rnacentral:rRNA from 1 species